rnacentral:rRNA from 1 species
GAUGAUUUAGUGGUGAAAUAUUAUUCAAACUGUUUUUUAUCUAGUUUUUAAAGAAAAUAAUUAUUAUUGUUAACAUUAGUUUGGUAGUUAGGGAUUAGCUUAACUAUUAUUAGUAUACAGGAUUUGAAGUUGAUCAUUUGUUGGGUUGAUAGUAUUUAUUUUUAUAGUGUUAUAAGAGAGUGAGUUAAAGUUUAGUUUUGUUUUAUUGUUGCUUUGUGUAUUUAAAAUAAGGUUAGAAUGUAAAGUGUCUUGUUAUAAUGAUUAGAUUAGUAAUAUAUUAUUAUUUUUAUUUAUUGAAAUUUAUAGAAUUUUAUUAAUUUUUUAUUUAAUUUUGUUAAUUGAAUUCGGCAAAAUAUUUUUUGACUGUUUAGCAAAUACAUUGCUUUUUGUUAGAAUAAAGGGUAAAGUCUGUCCGCUGCUAUAAGUGAAGGACUGCAGUAUUUUGACUGUAUUAAGGUAGCAUGAUCAUUAGUUUUUUUAUUGGGAACUGGAAUGAAGGUGAAACGGGGAAUAGCUGUAAGAGUGAAUGGUAUGAAUUUUAUUAUUAUGUGAAAAAGCUUGAUUGAUUAAAAGGGACAAGAAGACCCUAAUAAGCUUAAUUUUUUGGUUUUUAUUAUUAUAUUUAGAUUAGUGGUUUGUUAGGAUUAAUAAAAGUUUAAUUGGGGCGAUUUCUUAUUAACUAAAGAAUUAUUUUAAUUUU